rnacentral:rRNA from 1 species
UACGUAGGGUGCAAGCGUUAAUCGGAAUUACUGGGCGUAAAGCGUGCGCAGGCGGUUCUUUAAGACAGAUGUGAAAUCCCCGGGCUCAACCUGGGAACUGCAUUUGUGACUGUAGAGCUGGAGUGCGGCAGAGGGGGAUGGAAUUCCGCGUGUAGCAGUGAAAUGCGUAGAUAUCAGGAGGAACACCAAUGGCGAAGGCAGGUCUCUGGGCCACAACUGACGCUGAGGAGCGAAAGCGUGGGGAGCGAACAGG